rnacentral:rRNA from 1 species
GACGAACGCUGGCGGCGUGCUUAACACAUGCCAGUCGAACGGAAAGGCCCUGCUUUUGUGGGGUGCUCGAGUGGCGAACGGGUGAGUAACACGUGAGUAACCUGCCCUUGACUUUGGGAUAACUUCAGGAAACUGGGGCUAAUACCGGAUAGGAGCUCCUGCUGCAUGGUGGGGGUUGGAAAGUUUCGGCGGUUGGGGAUGGACUCGCGGCUUAUCAGCUUGUUGGUGGGGUAGUGGCUUACCAAGGCUUUGACGGGUAGCCGGCCUGAGAGGGUGACCGGCCACAUUGGGACUGAGAUACGGCCCAGACUCCUACGGGAGGCAGCAGUGGGGAAUAUUGCACAAUGGGCGGAAGCCUGAUGCAGCAACGCCGCAUGCGGGAUGACGGCCUUCGGGUUGUAAACCGCUUUCGCCUGUGACGAAGCGUGAGUGACGGUAAUGGGUAAAGAAGCACCGGCUAACUACGUG